UCCGCCGCCGCCUCAGCCGGUGGGCGGGAAGCCGGGCCGGGGCGGGCCGGAGCUCCCCGGCGGGCGCCAUGGCGCUGCCGGCGCUGUCGAGCUCAGGGGUGAAGUUCCGGCGGGUCCUGGCGCAUUUCCCUCAGGAGCUCAGCUUGGCCUUCGCCUAUGGGUCCGGAGUCUUCCGGCAGGCGGGGGCCUCGGCCGGGCCGGGCGAGAACAAUAUGUUGGACUUCGUGUUUGCUGUUGACGAUUCUGUGACCUGGCAUAUGAUGAACUUGUUAAAGAACAGGAGUCAUUAUUCCUUCCUAAAAGUUUUUGGGCCAAAACAGAUAAGUAAUGUACAGAGCUACGGAGCAGGGAUUUACUACAAUACUCUAGUGCCAUGUAAUGGUAGGAUGAUAAAAUACGGUGUAAUUAGCACUGAUACCCUGAUUGAUGAUUUACUUCACUGGAAAACCCUCUAUGUUGCUGGACGCCUACAGAAGCCGGUGAAAAUACUGACCCAGAAUGAGAACAGCAAGCUGCAAGCUGCUCUUGUCAGCAACCUGAAGAGUGCGGUCACAGCAGCCUUCCUCAUGCUACCAGAAAGUUUCUCUGAAGAAGAUCUCUAUAUGCAGAUUGCAGGACUCUCCUAUUCUGGUGAUUUCAGGAUGGUAAUAGGAGAAGACAGAUCGAAAGUGCAGAACAUAGUGAAACCUAAUGUUCCCCAUUUUCAGAAGCUGUACAGUAACAUAUUACAGGACUGCCCUCAAGUGGUAUACAAGCACCAUCUGGGAAGGCUAGAGAUUGAUAAAAGUCCAGAAGGUCAAUUUACACAACUAAUGGCUUUGCCAAGGACCCUGCAACAAAAAAUAACUUCUCUGGUAGACCCUCCUGGAAAAAACAGAGAUGUGGAAGAAAUUUUACUGCAGGUUGCCCAUGACCCUGACUGCGGAUUUGUGGUGCAUCAAGGCAUUUCAGGAAUUGUGAGAUCUUCCAGUAUAGCGCAGAGUGCUAAAACCAUACUAACAGCUGGGGCAAAGAAAUCUAUAACUUACAGUAUGAAGAAAUUAUAUAAAAUGACAAAGGGAUGGUUAAAGAAGACAUCUUGAGUCUUGGCAUACUGUGUAUGGAUGUGUGACAUUCUGAAUCCAAAAACUUGGACCAUGACUUUCAGUCUGGGAAAGAGUGAAAUGAGAAGCUUGUCAGGUCUUGGAUGCUUUCAUAGAAAUUGUAUGUUCUUUUCACGAGACGGAGAUGCCAAGUACCCAGCUCGUAGCUAAGCGCUGUCAGAAGAGUCACAGUUGGAAGGAACAUCAUACUUUCCCUCACCCAGGACCUUCUUGUGCAGAUUUAUGAAAUGUAUGCUCGGUGGAAAAUUCUUAAGAACAGAGAAUACUGGUCCCAGUGGUAGAAGCAGACCCCAACAGAUACAAGGCUUUUGGACAAAUGAACAACACGAGAAAAGAUUCAGGAUGGACUCAUGACCUUUUGAGUGAAAUAGUUACCAGGUAAGAAGGCCAAUGCUGGCAGAACUGCCUGGUUUAGUCAUCUAAUGAGGUAACAGCUUUUAUUUUUUUGGCCCAAAUGAAUUACACUGUAGGGGAAACUGCAUAUGGGCAGGAGCACGGACAAAACACUGAUUUUUACACCAGCAAUUUGGUGCUAGCAAAUUUUUGGUAGGGUCCACUCUGUUUUUUGGAGGGAAAAGAAAAACCAAAAAAAAGCAGGUCCUCAUCUGUGAAAAUCUUAGGAUACAUGAAAAAAAAAUGGAAACUGAAACUGACAGCAAAUCAACUUGUAGGAAACAGAACAAUUUCAAAAAUGACCCUCUGCUUGAAUAGUUAGCACUAUGAUUCCUUUAUUUAUUUAAUUUUGAUGUAACAAUGUUAUAUGUUCUGGGCUUUCUUUCUUUUGUAGCUGUGUUUAUUUUCAGUUAAGGCUGUGUGGGAAAGUGCCUAAGGGAGCCUUAGCUCCUUCUAAAGGAGAGGAUGCUCACUGCUGGCGGGGAUUUGUCCUCCACAAAUUCAGCAAGAUCACUCUUAGUGAAAUUGUAUUUUUCUCUUUGUGUGUGAAUUCUGUUCCUGUAGUCAACUUCAGGAAAAUGAAUACUGUAAGCAGAAAAAUGCAGUUGUUUUUAUGGUUUUUUUUAAAAUGCCAGUUGCUGCAAACUGGAUUAUUAGAAAGCUAUUCCACAUACUGAGUACAUUACCAGAUAAUUAAAGCUAACAACUAAAAUGUUAUUCCAAA